rnacentral:rRNA from 1 species
ACCCUGCAGGGGGGAGAACGCCGCGGAAAGCGGCGCUAAGACCGCGUACGCUCAUUCUGGGAGAGUGGAGUGAGGAAAACCGCAAGGUGCUGCAGGAGGGGCUUCCGGCCCAUCAGGUAGUUGGUGAGGUAACGGCCCACCAAGCCGAUGACGGGUCGCUGGUCUAAGAGGAUGAUCAGCCAGACUGGGACUGAGACACGGCCCAG